rnacentral:misc_RNA from 1 species
ACAAACAAGCUUUAUGUACCCAAGGUAGGGUAGUGGUCUAUAAACUAACCUCAGAUCCAUUUUAGUUGCUAACCUCUAAUGCAAAUUAGUGUUAAGAUGAAAAAUACUUGCUUUGUUGGAGUCCAAUUUUUGCAUAAAACAAUUAGAAGAUGUGUCCUGGCAGUAAUUGUGACAUGGUCAAAGUAAAACUGCUGGUUAUAUUAGCUCCUUGAAACUAAGUUUUGUGUUGCAUUUCUGGGGUUAGAGUUUGCCUAUAUAUGUUGCAGCCUGCCAAGUGCCAACCCUCAACAUACGCAAAACAACAGGUUACAAUUUUAAAUUAAUUAAGGACCUUUGUUUUUAACUUGAGCAUAAUAUUCCUGGAACAGGGCCAUGCAGAUGGGCCAAGUGUACAUAGUCAAAAUUUG